rnacentral:lncRNA from 1 species
CCCCCUCCAUAGUGGCUCUUACAAUCUCUAUCUAUUUCUCAUCGAUGAUCUCUCCUAUAUAAGUAAAGACAUUUUUAUCCACUGAAAUAGAAAACCGACACCAUUUAUUGGUAAGUAAACUGUAGCAUUAGUUUGAUAUUUUUUAAAAUCGAAGGGGUAUAAAUGAAAUUAGACUAAAGUUGAGGGGAUGUUUCUAUAAUUUAUCAUUAUAUGUUACUUAUGUAG